ACGAGGAAGAAGGAGUGGGGAGUUAAUGGUGUCGAGCAGCUGACAGUGGACUGUAUGUGUCAUUAGUGUCGUGUUUUAUCACUAACGGACUGUGAACUGUUGUUGGACGCUGUGCUCUGAGUGUGUGAGUUGGACUCUCCAUCGCAGUCGAAGUGUUUGUGUUUUAUUGGACACAAAGCAAGUUUGGCCAAGCUAGCUAGCAGGAGCUAGGCUAGCGGCACGGCCAUUGUUGAGAGGAGGCCUGCGCUGACGGGAAGAGCUUUGCCGGGUCGCCACGGACAGUGUCGCAGACGGACGGCUCUUCGCUGCCGCAGAGGGAGGUUUAUCGCUGCGAGCAUUUUGUUUUCACAGACUAACCUCGCCUCACAACAAGGCCGUGACCUCCCCUUAGCUCGGAGCUAUGUCUGCAAGUCCAGAUUUACAUGAUGCCGAUAAUGAUGUCAUUGUGUCUGUCUGUAAGACCUUUCAAGACAGUACGCAGGACAACAAACAACCAGAUUCUGCAUUGCAGGCAGAAGCUGUGAGGAGUUCAGCUUGGAGUCGAUCGAGAACAAAGAGGAUAAGACUUAUUAGAUUAGAGCCGUUUUUGGUCAAUGUGACAAUUAUUCGGGCACAUUAAUAGAUGUGUUGUGUCCAUGCGCAGUGCGUUGCACAGUACUGAUCGUCCUUAUGGAUUAUUUUUACCGCUGCUGGAAGGGAGACAGAGUGCUAGCUGAGGAUGAGAUGGACCUUUGGAAGCGCGGCGCCAUAGACCUGAUAUCUGAGGAGGAAGACGGCACAAGAUGGCGGGGUGUCUGGAUGGAUUGUGCAACCUCCGUCCUUUCGUAGCUGGGAGCUCACCGAGCUCUGCGCCACACUGCAGACACAUGAGAGGCGAUUCCAAAAUACAGGGCAGCGCACCACAGACGUCUGCAAAAACAGACACUUGCUUUAGGAUUUUGGGCUUCUCAUGAGCCUCCCGUUUCUUUGAAUAAACACCUUCCUGGCAAA